rnacentral:snRNA from 1 species
GGCCUGCUCAGGUUCUGGCUGAGACAUCUGUCACCCCAUUGAUCACCAGGGUUGAUUGGGCUGAUCUGGCUGGCUAGGUGGGUGUCCCCUUCCUCCCUCACUGUUCCAUGUGCGUCUCUCCCCACCAAAGCUGCGCAAUUGGUUGAAGAGGAUGAACUUCUCCUAAUAUAGGAGGACUGAUCAUCAGGUCAAGGGUAUAGAAGUAGCUGUGCUUCCCUUGAUAGAACCUCCAAACAAGCUCAAGUUCUAUUUUCUCCCUUUAAUUUAAAUUUGUUGAGAAUUCCAUACGAGGAUAUUGUAUUUUCAUCCUUUAUAACUGCUAUGUCUUCGAGUGACUUCACAAA